rnacentral:rRNA from 1 species
AUACGUAGGGGGCGAGCGUUGUCCGGAAUGAUUGGGCGUAAAGGGCGCGUAGGCGGCCCGGUAAGUCUGGAGUGAAAGUCCUGUUUUUAAGAUGGGAAUUGCUUUGGAUACUGUCGGGCUUGAGUGCAGGAGAGGUAAGUGGAAUUCCCAGUGUAGCGGUGAAAUGCGUAGAGAUUGGGAGGAACACCAGUGGCGAAGGCGGAUUUAUGGAAUGUAACUGGCGCUGAGGCGCGAAAGGUGUGGGAGCAAACAGGAUUAGAUACCCCGGUAGUCCACACUGGAAACGGAGAAUGCUAGGUGUAGGGGGUAUCGACCCCUUCUGUGCCGCAGUCAACACAAUAAGCAUUCCGCCUGGGGAGUACGGCCGCAAGGUUGAAACUUAAAUGAAUUGACGGGG